GUCUUAAAUUAUAUCAAACAAUGUACCCAACACAGUUUGAUCCUAAAUUAAAUGGAGGUGGUCUCAACGACGCUUACAUUUUUCUAUGUAAAAACGUAGGAGUCUGAAUAUUCUAAUUAAUAGGUAAAAAUGUAGGAGUCUGAAUAUUCUAAUUAAUAGGUAAAAACGUAGGAGUCUGAAUAUUCUAAUUAAUAGGUAAAAACGUAGGAGUCUGAAUAUUCUAAUUAAUAGGUAAAAACGUAGGAGCCUGAAUAUUCUAAUUAAUAGGUAAAAAUGUAGGAGUCUGAAUAUUCUAAUUAAUAGGUAAAAA